UACGUAGGGGGCAAGCGUUGUCCGGAAUUAUUGGGCGUAAAGAGCGCGUAGGCGGUCCGAUAAGUCGGCUGUGAAAGUCCAGGGCUCAACCCUGGAAAGCCGGCCGAUACUGUCGGACUAGAGUCCGGAAGAGGCAAGUGGAAUUCCCGGUGUAGCGGUGAAAUGCGCAGAUAUCGGGAGGAACACCUAUGGCGAAGGCAGCUCGCUGGGACGUUACUGACGCUGAGACGCGAAAGCGCGGGGAGCAAACAGG
rnacentral:rRNA from 1 species